UUCAUGUCCACUGUUCUUGUCCUUCUUGAGGUGAAGACCACAGGUUCGGGAGCUGCGGGGGAAAUAGCCUUGUCAAAUAUCCGCACUGUGUUUUGCAGAUCUUGCGUUGAAUUCAGUGCCCCAGAAGUGAAGGGAAUAAAUAUUCUGGGUGACUAAUGAGAUGACGGUUAAUCUGCUGAAUCCUGAAUAGUUGAUCGUAUAAGGUGACCCAGUUUCUCCAGUUUCACUUUUUAAAAUUCCAGUGCCAAUGUUGAACACCAGUGCCAAUCUCCAGACGGCAAGAGCUGGAAAGAGCUGUUAGUCGGAGCCAGUGAUGUUAAUACUGAAAGCUUCGUUUGGUCUGAAUGUCAUCGAGAAUCUGCUGGAGCUCCUCGUCCUCAAAUCGACCUUCCAAACUUAAAUUGAAGAAAUGGACAAAAGAGGAGGGUAGAGAAAAAGGCACACAUGAAUAUAUUGUAACAUUUGCAGACCCUUGUAAAUAAAAUCCAUACAUUUCCUACGCAUAAAGCCCCAAAACCUAAAACACAUUCAGCAAAUAUCACAGACCAACAUCAGGCCUAUUGAUUCCACACACAAUGUACUCCAUUCAAUGCCAUGUUGGAAAUCAAAGUAGAAAAUACUCAGCAUAGAGCAGCACCCGUAUCGAGGAUCUUUCAUCAGAGCAAAUGAAAAGUCAUCAACAUUAAACUGUUUUCCUCUUAA